AGGUCGUGGUGUGGACAUCUCCAGAGCAAGUUCUUAUACUUUUCCCAUGCUUCAUAUAAAAACUCAGAAUCCAAUUACAUGAAAAAAGUAAUAUUGUUCCUCAUCUU
rnacentral:snoRNA from 1 species